GGCUGGUCAGCUCAGUUGGUUAGAGCAUGGUACUAAUAAAUUACACCAGGGUCAGGGUUUGUCCCCGUAUGGGCCA
rnacentral:tRNA from 1 species